GUGAAUCAUCGAAUUUUUGAACGCAUAUUGCACUCUUUGGUAUUCCGGUGAGUAUGCCAGUUUGAGGGUAAUUAAAUAGUAUCUUUACCAAUUUUUUUUGGUCAAAGGCUAUGAGUUCUCCGCGUUUCUAGCGGUAGCUUGAAAUAAAUGGUCAAGUCUCAUUUUAGUAGAGUUGCGUAUUAAUAUUAUUUCGCGAAAUUUUCAUUAUGUGACUAUCAAGUUUUGAUGCAUACAUAUUUGGUUUGUUUGCGAUCAAUCCAAAUAUUUUGA
rnacentral:misc_RNA from 1 species